rnacentral:rRNA from 1 species
UACGGAGGGUGCGAGCGUUGUCCGGAAUUACUGGGCGUAAAGCGCACGUAGGCGGAUUGUUAAGUCGGGGGUGAAAUCCUGGAGCUCAACUCCAGAACUGCCUUCGAUACUGGCGAUCUCGAGUUCGGGAGAGGUGAGUGGAACUGCGAGUGUAGAGGUGAAAUUCGUAGAUAUUCGCAAGAACACCAGUGGCGAAGGCGGCUCACUGGCCCGAUACUGACGCUGAGGUGCGAAGGCGUGGGGAGCAAACAGG